AUAAAUCGGAAGGGCAUGCGUCGGAGAGAGAUAACAGGCUUUGGCUUUUUAUGUAUUUUAUUAGUCAGUCUUUUUCUCUCUCCUAUUUACCCACCGAA